CUGGCUGCUGCUGUAAGUCAACUUUUAAGCAUAUUUACAUUGCUUUGGGAAGUAACAGUUAAGCAGAAUACCUACAGUCCAUGAAGUUGAGAAAUGAAGAAAUGCAGCUCUGAAUUGUUUAAUACGGUGUGUGGGGAAAACAUUGUGGAUAUGAAGCAUAGAAAUCAUGUGUCAAUUUGAAGUAACAGUAACACAGAAUGGCUGGAGACCAUUAACUUAAGAACUGAGGAGAUGCAGGUCAUUGUUCUAUAUGGUGAUUGAUGGAACUAUGGUGCAGAUUUGAAUCGAUAAGGUGUGAAGUUACAGAAAAGCAGAAUAGCUACAGACCAUGAAAUUUAGAAAAUGAAGAGAUGCAUGUCUCUGUUCAGCAUGGUGUAUAUGGGAAACAUUGUGGGUCACAGACCUCUGUUCAGCAUGGUGUAUAUGGGAAAC
rnacentral:lncRNA from 1 species